GAUUGCUGAGCUGGGGCUCUGGCGGCAGGGGCUACCUCCCUUGGUGUAUGCACACUGGGGAUCGGGUUUGCACAGAAAGGCUGAAAACCUGGGCCCCACAGUCUUGGGCCAUGGUCCCAGACACAGGCGGAGGGCAUGCCAGGCACCCAUCCUUAGGGUUACACCCACCUCUCUGCGCCAGGUACCCAUCCUUAGGGUUACACCCACCUCUCAGCCAGACAGGUGACAAAGAGUCAGAGGGAGAACAUCUUGCUUUUUCUUGGAAUCACUUCCCGGCUGUCCUGGGAGACAGGUUGCUGCAGAUUUCCUGGGCUCCUGACGUCAGAGCUGGGUUAUUAUUAGCCAAGGUUCCUCUGCGCAGUGGCUGGCCCACGGUGGGGUGCGGCUGUGGGGCUUUCCCUGAACACGGGAGGCAGCAUGGUGCUCCAGGUUAGCUUAGAGGAGCCGUGGAGCAGGGCAUCCGCUGUCAGGCACCCGGCACCAGCCUUGCAGUGGGCUUCACAUAGGACAUGCCCAGGGCAUAUCGGGGACCAGGCAUUUCUCAUUCCCAGAGCACAUCUUCUCGGCUCAGGCCGAACCAGCACACAAACCUGUUUUGUUCUUUGCUGUGUGUGGUUUUUUUUUAGUGUAAUAAUUGUAUGUCGUUGGAAAGACAUGUUCUCAGCGCUCCCCUGUCAUACCCCUGCUGCCCUGCUCAGCUGGUCCUCAUCCCUCCACGCUCCCAUUACCUGCCUCCUGCCAAGGUCACCCGCUGUCCUUUGGAGAGGUGUGGGCUGUGUACAGCAGUGGGACCCGCCUGUGGGGUGGAACAGCAGGCCCCUGGGAGGAAACGGGACUGUGGUGCGCUUGAUUUCCCUUGCCCUCCCCCGGCCUCCCGCUCCCGGGUGUGUGUGUCAGGGGAUAGGAGCUUUGAAAGGGAGACAAGAUCCUGUUGUCCUCCUGGAGUCUGCCUCCCUAUCAGGAUUCCUUUUCUAGCGACCCACACACCUGCUGGUCUGAGUGCCCAGGGUACUUGUCAGGUCCUGGAACGACCUCUACCCCCAUCCUUAAUGCGGGCAUGUGCAAUGUGUGCCCCCGGGCCCAGGGAGUGAACACCCACGAGCGUGUGUGUGUGUGUGUGUACAGGUGUGGAUACACACAGGCCCCGGGCUCCUUGGGGCACACGAGGGCCUUCUCUGCCCCUGGGCCUCAUGGGUAUCAUGCCCCCAGCAGAGUGGAGUUAAAUAACCCGGUAUCCUGAGAGAACGGCUAGCUGCUCCUCUGCCUGUCACAGCAGGUCACCUCCUCCAUCUCCUGUCCAGUUUAACCCAAACCUGCCCCAUGCUUGCCUCUCAAGCUUAGGAUUUCUCCCAGAUCUCAUGAUUCUCAAACUCUGGUUCUAGAACAAUGGGUAUUUGUUGUAGAACAAGAUACACUUGCCUCACUGUGUUUCCUACCUGAGGCUUCACUUGUCUCACUGUGUUUCUUACCUCAGCGUUCCUGGUAGCACAGUUUGGAAAAGGGUGAGGUAGAAAAAGUUAUCCUUUUUGGCAUUCUUGGCUAUAAUCCCGUGUGGGUGUUUCAAAGAGGGCCGUCUGCCUUUUGGAGGGAGGGGGGUCCCAGCCACGUGGGAUGCUUCUUUGGCUGUUUUCCCUCUGGGAGUUGGAGCCCAGAGAGGAGAGCUUGAGGGGACCAAAGCCUCCCGCGCUGCGUCUGCUCUGCCAACCUCCUGCCAAAUUCCAAGAUCUGAGGAAAGUUUAUUCAUCUUGCUUUCUCAGGGGAGCCCUGAUUUCUCUUACCCCAGGUCCAGCAUCCUCAUCCAGGGGCCGGGUGGGUGAUCAAUAUGUGCAGGACACGAGGGAGGGGCUGGGCCUUGUCUGCACAGCCUGUGAAGGGCUUCCUUUCCAAUCUGAAAAACAAAACGCCACACUGGUGAUGAAUUGGGCCUGCAGACUGCCCCCCGAGUGCUAAAGCCACCAAUUGAAGAGUCACAGAAUUUUCAACACCCUGGUGUUCAAAUGCUAAAGCCCUGGUAUUAUCAUACCCAGUUUCCAAGGUCUUUCAGACCACACAUGCAGAAUCUUAGCUUUACAAAAUCUUAGCUAACGUUAUAUGUUAAAUAAGGACCAUGUCAGGACGCCUAUGUGUACCAUCUGAAACAGUCUCAAGCUUUAAGGUCAAAAGCAAACAAAAAGCAAACAAAAGCUCUCAUCUCAUCUACUUUUUUAACUCCAAAAAAAGAAAAAACUUUUAAGGCUAUGGCACUCCUAGGUAUUUCCUCAAAUGAGUUCAACACACCUGUCCACACAAACAAACAUCUAUAUGUAGAUGUUACAGCAGCUGUGUCCAUGACUGCGAGAACCUGAAAGCACCCAAAAUGCCUUCCAGCAGGUGAAUGGAUAAAUAAACUGUGGAAUGCCAGACAAUGGAGUGUUAUUCAGCACUAAAAAGAAACGAGCUAGUAGACCACGAAGAGAAAGGGGGAACUUUAAAUGCAUGUGAGUGAGAGAAGCCCAUAUGAAGAGGCUGCACACUGCAUGAUUCCAACUACAGGACAUU